GAUGAACGCUGGCGGCGUGCCUAAUACAUGCAAGUCGAGCGGUAAGGCUCCUGCAGAUUGUUUGAUGAAGCCAGGUCGCGAAAUUCUUUAGAAUUUCGCAUCACAACGAAGAAAGAACGAUGGCUAUCGUUCCGAAUGGGAGUGAAGUACCUGGUGUUAACCUUCUUUUAAGAAGGCGAAAUCAAAUAAUGUGCUGGAGUACACGAGCGGCGGACGGCUGAGAACACGUAGGAACGUACCCCAAACUGAGGGAUAAGCACCAGAAAUGGUGUCUAAUACCGCAUGUGAUCUUCGGAUUAAAGCUUCGGCGGUUUGGGAACGGCCUGCGUAUGUAUUAGUUUGUUGGUGAGGUAAUGGCUCACCAAGACUACGAUC
rnacentral:rRNA from 1 species